rnacentral:misc_RNA from 1 species
GGUAAUUUUUGGUAUUUGGCUUUCUUAUUAGGAUUAGUAUUAUUUCUCUAUACGAGUCUUAUGAAGGGAGAUUUGUAAUUUGAAAAUUUAGAAUUAUAUAAAUUUUUUAGCAUUGUUUUUUCCAUUGUGUGUUCUUAUUUUCUUUGUCGUUCUACAUCUCAUUUACUUGCAAAAUUGAGGAUUUCUACCUUCUCUAUCUGAAUUGGAGAUCAUUCAAUGUUGAGUGAGAUAAGAACAAAACAUUAAUAUUAAAAAUCUGUCCAGCUUAUCCUAUAGAAAUCAUUUAAUGUACUCCAUCAUUAAAGAAGUUCUACUAUGACCUAAAAAUCUGUGUAUACUCUGAAGAGGAGGUAAAUCAUCAUUAAUCCAAGUUGUAUGUAAUUUCUCAUCUUGGGAGAUACUUUAUCUGCAUUAGUAUGAUUUAGUGGGAAAUUUAUUUCUUUUCCUUAUCCAUCAUAUUAAGUUAGGCUGCUGUGAGUUGAAUCAACUUCCUAACGGAGGUCUGCAUCAACCAGAGAUAUUUUUUCUUUUUCUUUCAGAUAAUUAAUGCUGAGAUAUCCUUAAAAUACUUCUCCAAUAUCAGUUAUAGUAUAUUCAGUUUCUUUUGUAAAACAUUUUGCAGAUUACAGCUGCUAUCUUGAAUAGCAGGAAGACUUUACCCCUUGAUUGGCUUUACUCAAUAUUGCUAUCAGUUGGUGACCAUAUGAAUCGCCUAAGUUAAUGCUGAACCCAAACUAUUAUUGAAUGUUCGUUUGUGUGUGUGUGUGUGUGUG